UACGUAGGGGUCGAGCGUUGUCCGGAGUUACUGGGCGUAAAGCGUGUGCAGGCGGCUCAUUGCGCCCGGCGUGAAAGCCCCCGGCUCAACCGGGGAGAGUCGUCGGGGACGGGUGAGCUUGAGGGUAUCAGGGGCUGGUGGAAUUCCCGGUGUAGUGGUGAAAUGCGUAGAUAUCGCUUGGAACGCCGAAGGUGAAAACAGGCUGCUGGGGUUGCGCCGACGCUGAGACACGAAAGCCAGGGGAGCAAACGGG
rnacentral:rRNA from 1 species